UUGUUUAUGUUGGUUUGUUAAUUUGGGUAAAUAUAAGAUGUUGCAUAAUUUUUUCUGGCCAUUUUGUAUGUUUUCUAUAUUACAAGGAUUUAGUUUCAUCAAGUUUAUGCAGAGUGACAUUUAGGAAGUUACUUCAUAUUUUGGUAAAAGUUUUCCUUCUUUGCUGCAGCUUUCUCAAGUUGAGUGAUGUUCUUUAUUGUCCCUUCCUUUUAUGAUAGAUGAAAGGUUCGAAUAUGGUUGUGUGGUGAUGGGUAAUGCCACAUUCCCAAUAAUCGAGCUAACAUUUUGGGCACUUGAAGAACUAGUUUGCUUUUAGUAGAUCAUUUUAUAUUCUUUUGGAGGAUUGAGAGCUGUACUCUGGUGAUUUGGCUAUAAAAAUAAUCUUGCUUUUUUACAUCUUAAUUGUAUAACAUAUAUAGUAGCUGUCUGGUUGUUCGUAGAUGAAAUAGAGGUUUAAGAUGAUGCAUCAAGCAACAAGAAAGAGUUACUUUAUGCGCUUUUGAGGUGGCUACUGAUGGGUACAUGGUUCCUCAUAAGUCAUAAAUGUGGUGAGAAAAGUCUGUGGUUAGUUUGUCUUCAGAAUUUGUUUUACGUCGGUUUCCUCUUUUUGGUAGAUAACUGUUUUGAGCUUGUUUUACUGAUCUGGAGUUUAUGAAUCAUGUGUUAAUACAAAAUAGCUAUAGCUAAAAGAACUCUUACCAGCUACCAUAGAGAUUAUAUGGCGUAGUUUAUGGCAUAUGAUACUAUUUUGAGAAAGUGCUGCUAGAGAAGAUCUAUCUAAAGUUUUAAUUAGUUCGAUCUUGGUAAAUAAUGACUACCAUACCAAAUAUUUCAACAUAUAUCUUGUAGAAGUUAUUAGUGUGUGACUAUAAUAACCCCCAAAAAAGAGAAGAAUAAAAUGAGCUUACCAUAGAAGCAGUAGAAUACCAUGUGAUGAUUUUGUUCCGUGUUUAUAAAAAAUCCAAUGCAAUCACAAAAUAUAUUUAGGGCAUGCCAGGAAGCAAGAGGAUGGAUGUGAACCUAUUGCACGAAGUUGACAUCCAUGUCAGUUUUACAACAUGGAUCUGUCACCUUAUGUGAAGAGCACGCAGACAGAUGUGGUUAUUGUUUUAGAAGAACACAACUUUUAGAAAUUAAUGGGAGGAUGAUUGUUGGUGCAAAGGUCAGCAUGCUUCGUUUCCUAUGAUUAAAGAAAGGAAUCAAUAGAAUGCGUCUAGUAACUAUUUCGUAUAGAUGUGAAUUCCUCUCAUUAGGUUUAGUAUCUGGAUUUUGGUAACUACAAACUCUAUCCUUAGGUUGAAUGGCUGGUAUGCAAAGGUGCUUUAGCAAAUAUAUUUCCUUUUGAUGGAUAAAUAUUUUGACAAAACCAACUAUAGCCUUUUUUACUCUCUUCAUGUAAACGGGUGCUUAUAAUCCAGAAUACCCUUUUCAGGCUAAAUUUUUUAUAUUGGACUAUAUAUAAUAGAAAUCUGACAAGCUAUGAUUUGUGUUUAUGAUUGUAACACCACAAACUCAAGAAGGUGAAAGGAAGUUUAUCCCAAUGCAUUACCUUCUAUACUUAUGUGUUGUUGUCAUGUUUCCAACGAAACUUCACAGUUCUAUGAGGGUACUUAUAGAACUGGAACUAGAAUGGAACUAUAAGGUCUCUUUUCCUUAAAUUUCUGGCACAUUUGCCUUAGGUAGCGAGGAAAACUAUUUGAUGUGGGAGCCAUCAUCUAGUGGAAAUUUAUGAUUAGCUAUUUCUGAUAUUUGUGCUAGUUAAUCGAUGGAACUAGCUGGUGUCAGUUGUGCAAUGGAGAUUUCUGUUUCAAUAGAUCUUUUGGCACUGGUUUGUAAAAAGAAACUCACAAAAUGGACCAGAAUGCAAGUUUUAUCAGUUUUUACUUAGGCAUGUUAACCAAUUGAUUGUUAAGGGCUCAUCUAUAAGGACCAUGAGAUGUGUUUUCUUUGCUUCACAAUGCAACAGUAGCCAUAAAUGAACUUUCCCUUUUAUCUUUUCUAAUGCAAGUUGACAGUUUCUCACACACGAGAGGACUGCAAUGUGGCUUUUUCUCAUUAUUUGGUAUGUUGAAAUGGUUGGCAUUGACUGCUACUUGUGUAUAGUCUCUUCCUCCACAUCAAAACUCUGGCAAGGGUUGUGGUAAGGGUUGAAUGUUAUAGUUUUAUACUCUUAUGUUGUCACCUGCAAUUUGAGCACUUUGAAUGGAUUGAAACUUAAGCUAUUUUACGAGAACUUUUUCUUCUAAAAUCCACUUUCAGUACAUGUGUGAUAGGAUUUGAACCCAAUGCCCUCUGAUACCAUAUUAAAGUCUCUAUCACUACUACAAAACUCUGAAAGUUUGGUUCGCUAGAGGGUAAUAAUUUAUACUCGUUUACAAUGUGCAUUUUUAAAAAAUGCAUGCAUAGUUAGUUAGUUAGUUUGGAGAUUAGGAUAUAUGACCAUGAUAAUCUGGAGAGGAUAUGAUGGCACUCUUGCCAAGGAGGUGAUGUGAUUGUGUUGAGUGGUGUAUUGCCUGUAUUGAUUGUUUCAUGUUCGGUCCAUCAGCCAUUUUUGGUGAUUGGAUGUUCAUGUGAAAUGUUGCAACAUCUGAGAUGGUAUAUCACGUCUUUUCUGAUAAUUAAUAUUAGCAAAAUUCAUUCUGUACUUUGUGGAUUACAUUGGCUGAGCAUAUAACAUGGUCUUAGUUUGCAAUUAGAACAAAUUCAACUAUGUGCUUAAAGCUCUGAGCUAACUCGUAUCUCUCUGCUCUGAUGUGAAGUGAUAAGGUCAUUACCCUUGACAUGUUUAUAUUGAUUAUUGAAAAGUCAAGUAUCCUUUGUGGUUGACAUAAAAUAGUAAACCCUGUCAUGGUUCCCUUUGGUGUAGUAAGAAUAAUGUGUUCUUCUCUAUCCAGUUCCUAAUCCUUUUAACUGCAUGUGACUAUGCUCCUACCUGAUGAGUUACUGUGCAUUUUAAAGAAAUUUGAUAGAUGUAAUUUGAUUUUCCAUGGCCGUACUAUUGUAUGCACACCUUCUUACUGGUGCAGGUUGUCAGCUUCAAGGACCCCCGUGAUGCUUGUGCAGCAAUUGCUGCGGAAUCAUACAAGACAUGGUUAGAACAUGAGACAAGGACUGAUGACAUUACACUUAUUAUUGUACACAUUAAAGAUAUGGGUAAUUUGGACUCUGCGGACGAAGUAAGUCAAAUCAGCUUGAGACCUUCUCCAAUGACAUAUGGGGAGGGAUAUAGAUUUCAAAGUACAGGCACAGGAACUUUUCAUGCAAGGAGGGGUAGUAGUAUCACUGAGCUUCAGGCUUUUUCCGACUUCACAGCAACAGAACGGAGUCCUGCCUGUGUUGCUCCUUCACCAGAGCAGACAUUAUCCUUCAAAACAUGAUGAAACCAGAAUGUUUGGCUCAAGUUGCUUAGCGGUUCAUUCUAUCUCGCAAGAGUAACUGAAUGCAACAUGUUGACUACUGACUCCAAUUCUAUCUCCACAUCUGCAUCCAAAGCAUCUGUUGUAUUGGAGCUCAGCUUGAUCGUGAUUUGGUCCCUUUUUCAUUAGACGUUAUUUCUCCAAGAUCUGUACAUAGCAUUUGUUAGCGUUUGCUGAUUUGAGAUAAGGUGGCCUCUUUAACUAUGAGGCCCAUUCCACGAUAUGAUGAACACACUGGCACGACAAGGAGUUGGCAACCCUGAUUGCUUUGUGAGGUUUGGGAGCGAACAAUAAGAUGAGGAACUUUGUAUGAGAAGAAAAACAUGGCUGUAUGAUUCUUUGGUGACAAUGUUGGGGAACUGAGGAAAAUUUGGUUGCUGUUGUACAAAUUUGAACAGCCAACCAUGGAUGAAAGUUUCCUGAAUUUUAUGGUUCUUUCUUUUGAUCCAAGUUGUUAGCUAUAAUCCUGGUUCAUGAUUU